rnacentral:rRNA from 1 species
ACGCUCGACACCUACGGGAGCAGCAGUGGGGAAUAUUGCACAAUGGGGGAAACCCUGAUGCAGCGACGCCGCGUGAGUGAAGAAGUAAUUCGUUAUGUAAAGCUCUAUCAGCAGGGAAGAAAGUGACGGUACCUGAGUAAGAAGCCCCGGCUAACUACGUGGCAGCAGCCGCGGUAAUCUGAGCGGGCUGGCAAGGC